rnacentral:rRNA from 1 species
AUUAUUGGGCGUAAAGCGUACGUAGGCUGUUUGUUGCAUCUCCCGUUAAAUCCCAGAGCUUAACUUUGGGGCCGCGGGAGAGAUGGGCAAACUAGAGUCCGGAAGAGGCAAGUGGAAUUGCUGGUGUAGGGGUUAAAUCCGUUAAUAUCAGCAGGAACACCAAAUGCGAAGGCAUCUUGCUAGUACGGUACUGACGCUGAGGUACGAAAGCGUGGGGAGCGAAUGGGAUUAGAUACCCCAGUAGUCCACGCCGUAAACGAUGGAUGCUAAGCAUCGGGAGUAUCGACCCUCUCGGUGCUGUCUACCUAAGUUAACACCUUAAGCAUCCCGCCUGGGGAGUACGAGCGCAAGCUUAAAACUCAAAGGAAUAGACGGGGACCCGCACAAGCGGUGGAGCAUGUGGUUUAAUUCGACGGUAAGCGAGGAACCUCACCAAGGUUUGACAUCUAGCUGCAGAGCCCGAGAAAUCUGGCAGCCUUCGAGGGUGCUAGACAGGUGCUGCAUGGUUGUCGUCAGCUCGUGUCGUGAGAUGUACCGUUAAGUCGGGAAACGAGCGCAACCCCUAUCCUAUGUUUUACAUGUCAUAGGAAACUGCCCGCUUUAAGUGGGAGGAAGGUGGGGAUGACGUCAAAUCAGCAUGGUCCUUACACCUUGGGCAACACACGUGCUACAAUGGGAAGUACAGAGGGACGCCAAGCGGUAACGCGGAGCAAAUCCCAAAAACUUUUCUCAGUUCGGAUUGAGGUCUGCAACCCGACCUCAUGAAGCUGGAAUCGCUAGUAA